AGUUUUAGUCAGCAUUAUAACACACACAUGUAUAUAUAUAUACAUACAUAUCAAUCCAUUUGGCAGGGGGACACAAACAAGAAGUGAUCAAUUGAUAAAAUUGUAACAAGAAUUCAAGCAAGGAAACCAAACAAAAGGCAGGAACAGAUACUCACUUGCAUAUUGCGGGUUGUCUUACUGUGGGUUGCAGGUAGUAUUGUGUUUCAGAAACACAGGUAUUAUCAAAUGCUGUCCCUAAUAGGAGGAAUACUCAAUAUUCAUCAUAUUGUUUAUCUGUAGCCCUGCCUCUAUUUUCUUAGUAAUAUGCGUGAGCAUUCAGCAACUUUUACAUAGACUUGUACUUUUUUCCCAAGUAUGUCUAGCCUUGAUUAAAUUGUAUACCACUUUCACCAAAUUCAGAGACUAAUAAGACUAUUUAUUCCAAUCAAACUGAAAGACAUAAAUUUACAUUAUUUAUACGAAUUCUUUUCUCCAAAAACCUAAAGAUUACAACUAGAUAGGAAAGAAAGGUGUUCUCAAAAUUUUAGACCAUUUCAUAUUGGGCAGAGGAAAGAAGCUUAUAAACAUGAUAUAACCAGAAAUCUUAGAAAGGCUUUUGUGCGUUCCCUAAUCUAAUCUUCAUAGCGUCAAUACAUCAAACGUGUGGUUCACAUAUAUCCAAAAUCAAAAUUGACUGAGCACCCAAAAUCAGAUUUGAUUAAACACAAAUAGAGACAUGGGAGGCGAGCGAAGCCGUAG
rnacentral:lncRNA from 1 species